GGUAAGGUGAUAUGAACCGUUAUAACCGGCGAUUUCCGAAUGGGGAAACCCAGUGUGAUUCGUCACACUAUCAUUAACUGAAUCCAUAGGUUAAUGAGGCGAACCGGGGGAACUGAAACAUCUAAGUACCCCGAGGAAAAGAAAUCAAAA
rnacentral:rRNA from 1 species